rnacentral:rRNA from 1 species
UGCGUAGGCGGUUCUUUGUGUCCGCUGUGAAAGCCCCGGGCUUAACCUGGGAAUGGCAGUGGAAACUAGAGGACUUGAAUCCGGCAGAGGGGGGUGGAAUGCCACGUGUAGCAGUGAAAUGCGUAGAGAUGUGGCGGAACACCGAUGGCGAAGGCAGCCCCCUGGGCUAAGAUUGACGCUCAGGCACGAAAGCGUGGGGAGCAAACAGGAUUAGAUACCCUGGUAGUCCACGCCCUAAACGAUGUCAACUAGGUGUUGGGGAAGCGAUUUCCUAGUACCGCAGCUAACGCGUGAAGUUGACCGCCUGGGGAGUACGGUCGCAAGAUUAAA